UACGAAGGGUGCAAACGUUGCUCGGAAUCAUUGGGCGUAAAGCGCACGUAGGCGGACUCAAAAGUCGGAUGUGAAAGCCCUCGGCUCAACCAAGGAAGUGCAUCUGAUACUGUGAGUCUUGAGUACCAAAGAGGAUCGCGGAAUUCCCGGUGUAGAGGUGAAAUUCGUAGAUAUCGGGAGGAACACCAGUGGCGAAGGCGGCGAUCUGGGUGGAUACUGACGCUGAGGUGCGAAAGCGUGGGGAGCAAACAGG
rnacentral:rRNA from 1 species